CUACGUGCCAGCAGCCGCGGUAAUACGUAGGUCCCGAGCGUUGUCCGGAUUUAUUGGGCGUAAAGCGAGCGCAGGCGGUUAGAUAAGUCUGAAGUUAAAGGCUGUGGCUUAACCAUAGUACGCUUUGGAAACUGUUUAACUUGAGUGCAAGAGGGGAGAGUGGAAUUCCAUGUGUAGCGGUGAAAUGCGUAGAUAUAUGGAGGAACACCGGUGGCGAAAGCGGCUCUCUGGCUUGUAACUGACGCUGAGGCUCGAAAGCGUGGGGAGCAAACAGGAUUAGAUACCCUGGUAGUCCACGCCGUAAACGAUGAGUGCUAGGUGUUAGACCCUUUCCGGGGUUUAGUGCCGUAGCUAACGCAUUAAGCACUCCGCCUGGGGAGUACGACCGCAAGGUUGAAACUCAAAGGAAUUGACGGGGGCCCGCACAAGCGGUGGAGCAUGUGGUUUAAUUCGAUGCAACGCGAAGAACCUUACCURCUCUUGAC
rnacentral:rRNA from 1 species